UAUCACCGAUUUCUUAUCGCACUUAAUCCCGUCUUCUCCUCCAUUAACAAUGCCAUUAUUUGCGCCAUUCAACCUCUUUGAUUCAUACCAUGAUAAUCAUGCGUUACGUUAGAAGAGUUAUCCUUUGGAAUUUUCCCUACAUAAACCUCAACAAAAGUUAUCAUCUUCCCAGGUUUCUCCAUUUCUUUGUUCCGCAUACUCUAUCAAGGCUAUUAGGGUUUCCCCUUACCAUCGACAACUCCAGGUAGAAUGUGCAGAAGAUUUGGAUUUGUAAGUAAUUAUGAAGAUAAAUUUGAUUUUUCCUUGAAUCAGUGUUGAUCUUUUCAUUACAGCGAGUUUACCAAGAUUCAAUUCUGCCUUUAUAUGAGGGAUAGGGAAGGGAUGCCCUCUCCCAUAGUGCUUGGCCUCAAUGAUUGUUUUUUACUCUGUGAAUGGUAAUUAAGGUAUUUCGACACACCAGAACCAUUGUGAUGCACUGCACCCUCUCCUCAACCAACGUCAACAGAGUGUACACCAACAUUGACUUACCUGAAAUAUUCAAAUGUAAGAAAGGCUGCUAAUGUCGCUGUAUGUAAAGCCCGACCUGCACAUUGACAAAGUCACGACCAAUUAACCAACUAACCAUGCCCAGUUACUCUUUACCGAAAUUACUUAUUGAGAAUGGUUGGUAUUCUCUUGCUUUCUAUGGUUGCAACAAGGAAGCUGUUUGAGGAUGCUGACCAUUGAUGCAUAAAAUGUGAGGCCAAGGUCGACCUUCCCAUAGAUCCGGUUUGUGAUCUUUGCUUAACACCGUGAUAUUUAACAAUCUAUUUUUUUUUUUUUUUGGUUGGUGCCUACCCAUUUCCCACUCAGGUAACUUAUCCACGUUGAAGUUGAUGAUGCAGACUGCCGUUUUUUAUCACUCUUAAAAUCUGCUGGAAUCAUUGAAGGCAGCCGUGCUUUCAGGGUUCUCACCAAUUCUUCACCAUGCAGUGGAUUUCCAAGGUUCUCAACAACUGCAAGGAUUUUUGUUAGUUACUUCCAAACCAAGAGAAUAUGAUAUUUUCACGACUGAAGUUCUCAUUCGCAAACUGUGACUACUACAAUCAUAUUCACAAAGGGCACAGUCAGUUGUAUCAGACAUGUACACAUUUGACAAACUUUACACAUGUUUUAUGAAGCUACUGGAGGAGGUGGGGUGAUGGAUAUAGAGGAUGAGGAGGUGAGGUGGUGGUGGUGUUGGAUGAGGAGGUGAGGUGGUGGUGGUGUUGGAUGAGGAGGUGAGGUGGUGGUGCUUGACAACAACAUGUGCAAUUGACAUGCACAUAAUUUUAUGUGCAAGCAACUUUAGUAAAACAAUGCUUAAAAUAGGGACACAUUAUACUGUUUUGUAACUUGCGUAUGUAUUGCUCACAUCCGAGAACUUGAUUUAGGAAAUCACACGUUGCUACUUUUCUGACUGCCUGUUCGAGGUAAUAAACAAAGAUGAUUGUGCAGUUAGUUACCUGGUAAGCAGUUAUCGUUCUGAUUAAUGGGCUUAUACCCUAAGAGGAUGUCAUUGGUUUUGUACUAUAUUGAUGUAUCAACUGCAUUAGACCAGGAAGAAUCACUGAUUAAGCAUAAGUUAGACAUCAAGCAUAAGUUAGACAUCACGAUCAUGGUGUAUAUACACAUUCAUUCCCAAUUCCCAGACCUGUAUAAAGUGGGGUUUCAUUGGGAAAUCCGUAUGGUAGGAUUUAAUUUAAUGAUGUAUAAAAGAAAACUUUUAUCACAGACUCACAUACGUUUCCACAAUCUUUGUAUGGUUACAAUUUGAUGAUGUAAAUCUGAUCUGCACAAGUAGU